UGCAUUGAUGGUGUUCCUGGCUGGUUGGAGGACAGAGCUACAGAACUGCAGACAGAGCAGUUGCUGAUAGGGCCAGGUGGAGCUCUUGGCUGGCUGCAGGGACUGAAUACAAGACUUUAGUCCUACGGUAAAGCCCACAGACUGUGUUUGAGACUUGGCCGGAAAAACCACUGACAGGAGUCACCACACCUGGCCAGGGGGUGCUCACAGCCUUCAAGUGAGAAGACUAAAAACAUCGUCAAGCGGUGGGUCCAUUGUAAGGAAUGAGCUGGAUCCUGAACAAUGGGACUCUUGUGACUCUGGCUGCUCUGUUACUGAGAACCUUCUUGUCAGCCCCCACUGAAGAUGCCAAAUCUCUCCCCAAGGAGCUAUCCAAGUUGGGAAACCAUUUACUCAAUCUUGAGUGCCUGCAACCUGCAUCAGAAUUUAGCUCCAAGUCCUGCAAAGAUCGUCCUACUUUGCUCAAAAGAUCAGUCUCUGCAUGUCAGCUCUUGGAUGCCGCUCAGAACAACCAUGUGAACCGAAAGAUUCUUCUUUUGAACAGGAUGCAUUGUGGUCCCGGGCAGUUUAAUUUGCAUCUUUACUGUUGGGACUUCUUGAGCUUCCUGUCCUUCCUCGUUGGAGCUCAAGAACAGGCAGUGAGCCAUCUGCUCUUUGCCACCUUGAUGGUGGGUGGAUGUGCUUGAAGCUGCUGCUGUGAUAGUGGCUACAUCACUUACCCAACAUCUACCUGAGAAACAGAAACUGACUUGCGUGAGGCUACACAGCAGGUCAAUAGGAGAACCAGUAUCCGAACCGAGGAACUUGUGGCAUAGGGACAGAAGCCCCGUCUUCUAGACCUCACUGUAACAACUUAGCAACUCAUUUUUC